UGGUUCUGGCAUCGAUGAAGAACGCAGCGAAAUGCGAUAAGUAAUGCGAAUUGCAGAAUUUCCGUGAGUCAUCGAAUCUUUGAACGCACAUUGCGCCCUUUGGCAUUCCGAAGGGCAUGCCUGUUCGAGCGUCAUUAUCCUCUCUCACAACCCCCCGGGGUGGUGGUGUUGGACCGCGUCGGCCUCGACCGCCGACUGGUCUCAAAGACAAUGACGGCGUCCGUGGGACCCUCUUCGCACUGAGCUUUCCGGAGCACGCGACGAGUUUCAAGGCCCCCCGGACCCGGUCCUCCUUUUAUACUUCUAAGGUUGACCUCGGAUCAGGUAGGAAUACCCGCUGA
rnacentral:misc_RNA from 1 species